ACUCCUACGGGAGGCAGCAGUGGGGAAUUUUGCGCAAUGGGGGAAACCCUGACGCAGCAACGCCGCGUGGGUGAAGAAGGCCUUCGGGUCGUAAAGCCCUUUCGGACGGGACGAACGCUCCGGGGUGAACAGCCCCGGAGUCUGACGGUACCGUAGGAAGAAGCACCGGCUAACUCCGUGCCAGCAGCCGCGGUAAUACGGAGGGUGCGAGCGUUGUUCGGAAUUACUGGGCGUAAAGCGCGUGUAGGCGGCCUUGCAAGUCAGGCGUGAAAGCCCUCGGCUUAACCGGGGAAGUGCGUCUGAAACUGCUUGGCUUGAGUACGGGAGAGGGAGGCGGAAUUCCCAGUGUAGAGGUGAAAUUCGUAGAUAUUGGGAGGAACACCGGUGGCGAAAGCGGCCUCCUGGACCGAUACUGACGCUGAGACGCGAAAGCGUGGGGAGCAAACAGGAUUAGAUACCCUGGUAGUCCACGCGGUAAACGAUGGGCACUAGGUGUGGGGGGUAUCCACUCCUCCCGUGCCGAAGCUAACGCAUUAAGUGCCCCGCCUGGGGAGUACGGCCGCAAGGUUAAAACUCAAAUGAAUUGACGG
rnacentral:rRNA from 1 species